GACGAACCGUGCGAACGUUAGGCGGAAUCACUGGGCUUAAAGCGUGUGUAGGCGGAUCGUUAAGUGUCUUGUGAAAUCCCACGGCUCACCCGUGGAACUGCUGGGCAUACUGGCGAUCUUGGGCCAACUAGGGGCAACUGGAACAAGCGGUGGAGCGGUGAAAUGCGUAGAUAUCGCUUGGAACGCCAAAGGUGAAAACAGGUUGCUGGGGUUGUGCCGACGCUGAGACACGAAAGCCAGGGAAGCAAACGGG
rnacentral:rRNA from 1 species